rnacentral:lncRNA from 1 species
AGAAAAAUAGAUGAUGCGAUUGGAGAAGAUAUUUGAUGUACGAAAUUGUUCUGAUAAUCAAAAGAAUUUCUAGAGAUCAAGGACAGGAAUAGAAAGGACAAGUUUACCAAAAAAAAAAAAGAUUAGAAAUGAAUCUGAAUGUGAUAAUAAGAGGGUCAAGACAUCAUCGAUUUGAAAAGGGAAGUCACCACAAAAGAUUCAAUCCUGUGUAUG